UACAGAGGGUGCAAGCGUUAAUCGGAAUUACUGGGCGUAAAGGGUGUGUAGGUGGUUUGAUAAGUUAGGUGUGAAAGUCCUGGGCUUAACCUGGGAAUUGCGCCUAAUACUGUUAAGCUAGAGUACUGUAGAGGAAGGUGGAAUUUCCGGUGUAGCGGUGAAAUGCGUAGAUAUCGGAAGGAACAUCAGUGGCGAAGGCGACCUUCUGGACAGAUACUGACACUGAGACACGAAAGCAUGGGUAGCAAACAGGAUUAGAUACCCUGGUAGUCCAUGCUGUAAACGAUGAGAACUGGCUGUUGGGCGCCGUGAGGCGCUUAGUAGCGAAGCUAACGCGUUAAGUUCUCCGCCUGGGGAGUACGGCCGCAAGGCUAAA
rnacentral:rRNA from 1 species